AGAAAUUUGAGUAAAUACUCUUAAAAAUUAUUAUUACUCCCCAACUCCCCCCUUUACAAUGAAGGGAGAGGCAUCUAUUUAUAGUUGAGCCUCCCCAAAUCCAGCGGUACAGAUUAAUUACAUCAACGGCUAAGAUUAAAAGGUAUCUACAAAUUAAAUCUCUAAUAUUACAAAAUCAUAUAUUUUAAGAUUGCAUAUCAUAUCUAAGAUUACAUAUCAUAUCUAAGAUUGCAUAUUAUAUCUAAGAUUACAUAUCAUAUCUAAGAUUGCAUUUCCUUGAAGAUUAUGUUUCAAUAUGCAUCAUGCUUGUAGAUAGACCUUCAACCUUUUCAAGUAAUGGGCCAUCCCGAUCGAGCCAAAUGAUAUAAUUUUAGACUUUAUUUUAUUAUUUUGAGUUUAUUAUUUUCUUAUGAGCCCGGGCUAAAUUGGCCUAUUACAUAUCAUACGCAAACAUUUAACCAUAUAUUAAUAAUUAAACUUUCCAAAAAUUUUCAAAGCAAUCAAUAUCAAAUAACAAUCUAAGAGGAUUGAGAAACACCAUUUCUUACUUUAUUGAAGCUUUCUCUCUUUACCUUCAAUUUUAUCUGUUAAGACUCAAACCAAACCUUUGCUGAAAGUGGAGAGAUUUAAGGUGGAAAUGAGUUUUGGAGAUGAGUUUAUUAGUGAUUUUGACAAAAACUCAAGAUUUGAGCAGUGGGUUUUAAAGCGAUUUCAAGAAAAAGCAAGAAAAUUAAAGAGAAGAAGACAGACUCCAUGGGAUGGGGGGUGGUCAUGCAACAAGUUGAUGGAGAUGAGUUUUUCAUUUUUUCAAGAAAAUUAAAGAGAAGAAGACAGACUCCAUGGGAUGGGGGGUGGUCAUGCAACAAGUUGAUGG
rnacentral:lncRNA from 1 species